AUUGAACGCUGGCGGCAGGCCUAACACAUGCAAGUCGAGCGGAUGAAGGGAGCUUGCUCCUGGAUUCAGCGGCGGACGGGUGAGUAAUGCCUAGGAAUCUGCCUGGUAGUGGGGGAUAACGUCCGGAAACGGGCGCUAAUACCGCAUACGUCCUGAGGGAGAAAGUGGGGGAUCUUCGGACCUCACGCUAUCAGAUGAGCCUAGGUCGGAUUAGCUAGUUGGUGGGGUAAAGGCCUACCAAGGCGACGAUCCGUAACUGGUCUGAGAGGAUGAUCAGUCACACUGGAACUGAGACAGGGUCCAGACUCCUACGGGAGGCAGCAGUGGAGAAUAUUGGACAAUGGGCGAAAGCCUGAUCCAGCCAUGCCGCGUGUGUGAAGAAGGUCUUCGGAUGGGAAAGCACUGUAAGUUGGGAGGAAGGGCAGUAAGUUAAUACCGUGCGGUUUUGACGUUACCAACAGAAUAAGCACCGGCUAACUUCGUG
rnacentral:rRNA from 1 species